rnacentral:rRNA from 1 species
GAUGAACGCUGGCGGCGUGCCUAAUACAUGCAAGUCGAGCGAACAGAUGAGGAGCUUGCUCCUCUGACGUUAGCGGCGGACGGGUGAGUAACACGUGGAUAACCUACCUAUAAGACUGGGAUAACUUCGGGAAACCGGAGCUAAUACCGGAUAAUAUAUUGAACCGCAUGGUUCAAUAGUGAAAGACGGUUUUGCUGUCACUUAUAGAUGGAUCCGCGCCGCAUUAGCUAGUUGGUAAGGUAACGGCUUACCAAGGCAACGAUGCGUAGCCGACCUGAGAGGGUGAUCGGCCACACUGGAACUGAGACACGGUCCAGACUCCUACGGGAGGCAGCAGUAGGCAAUCUUCCGCAAUGGGCGAAAGCCUGACGGAGCAACGCCGCGUGAGUGAUGAAGGUCUUCGGAUCGUAAAACUCUGUUAUUAGGGAAGAACAAAUGUGUAAGUAACUAUGCACGUCUUGACGGCACCUAAUCAGAAAGCCACGGCUAACUACGU